ensembl:snoRNA
GUAGCACUUUCACAGGUCCUGCCCCUGACAGUGGGGCCAGGAUUUGGUAGCUGGUGCUGAAAGAAAACCCCCGACUGUAUCUUUGCCCUGGGACUUGUACCAGUGGUGGUAGAUACUGAGUGGGACAGGA